rnacentral:hammerhead_ribozyme from 1 species
UUCCCGCUGACGAGUACCAAAUAGGACGAAAUGCGCAUCCUGGAU